rnacentral:rRNA from 1 species
AUUGAACGCUGGCGGCAUGCUUUACACAUGCAAGUCGAACGGCAGCGCGGGCUUCGGCCUUGCGGCGAGUGGCGAACGGGUGAGUAAUGCAUCGGAACGUGCCCAGUAGUGGGGGAUAGCCCGGCGAAAGCCGGAUUAAUACCGCAUACGACCUGAGGGUGAAAGCGGGGGACCGAAAGGCCUCGCGCUAUUUGAGCGGCCGAUGUCGGAUUGGCUAGUUGGUUGGGUAAAGGCUUACCAAGGCGACGAUCCGUAGCUGGUCUGAGAGGACGACCAGCCACACUGGGACUGAGACACGGCCCAGACUACUACGGGAGGCAGCAGUGGGGAAUUUUGGACAAUGGGGGCAACCCUGAUCCAGCCCUGCCGCGUGCGGGAAGAAGGCCUUCGGGUUGUAAACCGCUUUUGUUCGGGAAGAAAUCCUCUGGGCUAAUACCCCGGGGGGAUGACGGUACCGGAAGAAUAAGCACCGGCUAACUACGUG